UACGUAGGGUCCGAGCGUUGUCCGGAAUUACUGGGCGUAAAGAGCUCGUAGGUGGUUUGUCGCGUUGUUCGUGAAAACUCACAGCUUAACUGUGGGCGUGCGGGCGAUACGGGCAGACUGGAGUACUGCAGGGGAGACUGGAAUUCCUGGUGUAGCGGUGGAAUGCGCAGAUAUCAGGAGGAACACCGGUGGCGAAGGCGGGUCUCUGGACAGUUCCUGACGCUGAGGCACGAAG
rnacentral:rRNA from 1 species